AGUGAACGCUGGCGGUAGGCCUAACACAUGCAAGUCGAACGGCAGCACAGUAAGAGCUUGCUCUUACGGGUGGCGAGUGGCGGGCGGGUGAGGAAUACAUCGGAAUCUACUUUUUCGUGGGGGAUAACGUAGGGAAACUUACGCUAAUACCGCAUACGACCUACGGGUGAAAGCAGGGGAUCUUCGGACCUUGCGCGAUUGAAUGAGCCGAUGUCGGAUUAGCUAGUUGGCGGGGUAAAGGCCCACCAAGGCGACGAUCCGUAGCUGGUCUGAGAGGAUGAUCAGCCACACUGGAACUGAGACACGGUCCAGACUCCUACGGGAGGCAGCAGUGGGGAAUAUUGGACAAUGGGCGCAAGCCUGAUCCAGCCAUACCGCGUGGGUGAAGAAGGCCUUCGGGUUGUAAAGCCCUUUUGUUGGGAAGAAAAGCAGCAGGUUAAUACCCCGCUGUUCUGACGGUACCCAAAGAAUAAGCACCGGCUAACUUCGUG
rnacentral:rRNA from 1 species